rnacentral:SRP_RNA from 1 species
UGAGACGAGCGGUGGUAAGACGUCGGCGUUCCUCGCGAUGAGGGAAGCCGCGGACCGGGCUCGGCUCCGGUGGGAGCUGCAGGAAGCGGCUUGGGCUUGGGACAACUACUGCGAGGAGCAGAUG